UACGAAGGGGGCAAGCGUUGUUCGGAAUUACUGGGCGUAAAGGGCGCGUAGGCGGUGCGCUAAGUCAGAUGUGAAAGCCCCGGGCUCAACCUGGGAAUUGCAUUUGAGACUGCGUAGCUAGGGUGCGGAAGAGGGAAGCGGAAUUUCCGGUGUAGCGGUGAAAUGCGUAGAUAUCGGAAGGAACACCAGUGGCGAAAGCGGCUCCUGGUCCAGCACCGACGUCAGGCACGAAAGCGUGGGGAGCAAACAGG
rnacentral:rRNA from 1 species